rnacentral:misc_RNA from 1 species
UUUCCGUAGGUGAACCUGCGGAAGGAUCAUUACCGAGUGAGGGCCCUCUGGGUCCAACCUCCCACCCGUGUUUAUCGUACCUUGUUGCUUCGGCGGGCCCGCCGCAAGGCCGCCGGGGGGCAUCUGCCCUCUGGCCCGCGCACGCCGAAGACACCAUUGAACGCUGUCUGAAGAUUGCAGUCUGAGCAAUUAGUUAAAUAACUUAAAACUUUCAACAACGGAUCUCUUGGUUCCG